GUUUUAAUAAUUUAACAAAAAUAUUGGCCUUGUAAACCAAAAAUAAGAAUUUACCUUUUAAAACA
rnacentral:tRNA from 4 species